AUUAAAGUUGGUUGUGAGAUACAGAAGAAUAAGAGGAACAUACAGAAGAAGAGAGAAUAUUUCCACAGCUCCACAAGCUCUUUUCACGAUUGGCAAAAGCAUCAUAUUUGAAAAGCUUUACAACUAUGUAUCUGGCCCGUACUUUCAUCUCAAGUGGCUUCCAGUUCAGAAAGAGCUGUAUCCACAGCAGCAGCCCAGAACUACAGAGACUUGCGGAUGUAAGGUGGGCAUGCAGAGAAACAAGGUCUGCCGAUGAAGAGGUCCCAAAGAAUGUCCCAAGAGAGUAAAUUAACAUUGUUGUAUGCCGUGGAUUAUAUGUGUACCUAUGUUAAAUUUUGUGAAAAAAAGACCAUUUCAAAUCAAAUCAAAUCUUAUUUGUCACAUACACAUGGUUGGCAGAUGUUAAUGCGGGUGUAGCGAAAUGCUUGUGCUUCUAGUUCCGACCAUGCAGUAAUAUCUAACAAGUAUCUAACAAGUAAAAGUCACACAAUGUAUAAACCGAUUACAACUGGAGCAUGCCAACCCUGCUGAGUGUGUACGCUUCUGUUCCAGCCCAGUACUAACACAUCUGAUUCAAUGUAUCAAAACAAAUUAGUUAAUAAUCAAGUGUGCUAUUGCUUGGCUGCAACAGAAGUCUGCUCACCAGUAGAUCAGUGAUCAGUGGAGCGAGAUUGGACACCUCUGGUAUUUAUUUGUUUUGUUCACCUGAAAUUAUGUUUUUAUUUAUAAUAGCCUACUUGUUACUAACAUUUUGAACUUUUACAUAUGUGUUAACUUACUUGUACACUUUGAACUUAUAUAAAAGUGUUGAUUCUUUGAAGUUAAGUGUUUAAACUUAACUUAACUAUUAUUCAAGAUUAACUAGUGUUGAUGUUUAUUAAUCACAGAUCACAA